AUCAGCUUGUUGGUGAGGUAACGGCUCACCAAGGCUUCGACGGGUAGCUGGUCUGAGAGGACGAUCAGCCACACUGGCACUGCGACACGGGCCAGACUCCUACGGGAGGCAGCAGUAAGGAAUAUUGCGCAAUGGGCGAAAGCCUGACGCAGCGACGCCGCGUGGGGGAUGAAGGUCUUCGGAUUGUAAACGGCUAACUUCGUGCCAGCAGCCGCGGUAAUACGAAGGUGGCAAGCGUUAUUCGGAUUUACUGGGCGUACAGGGAGCGUAGGCGGUUCGGUAAGCCCUCUGUGUAAUCUUCAGGCUUAACCUGGAAAAGACGGAGGGGACUGCUGGGCUAGAGGACGGGAGUGGAGCGCGGAAUUCCCGGUGUAGCGGUGAAAUGCGUAGAGAUCGGGAGGAAGGCCGGUGGCGAAGGCGGCGCUCUGGAACGUUUCUGACGCUGAGGCUCGAAAGCGUCGGGAGCAAACAGGAUUAGAUACCCUGGUAGUCCACGCCUUAAACUAUGAAUACUAAGUGUCGGCGGGUUACCGCCGGUGCCGCAGCUAACGCAUUAAGUAUUCCGCCUGGGAAG
rnacentral:rRNA from 1 species